CCUACGGGUGGCAGCAGUGAGGAAUAUUGGUCAAUGGACGAGAGUCUGAACCAGCCAAGUAGCGUGAAGGAUGACUGCCCUAUGGGUUGUAAACUUCUUUUAUAAAGGAAUAAAACGAGGCACGUGUGCCUUUUUGCAUGUACUUUAUGAAUAAGGAUCGGCUAACUCCGUGCCAGCAGCCGCGGUAAUACGGAGGAUCCGAGCGUUAUCCGGAUUUAUUGGGUUUAAAGGGAGCGUAGAUGGGUUGUUAAGUCAGUUGUGAAAGUUUGCGGCUCAACCGUAAAAUUGCAAUUGAUACUGGCAGUCUUGAGUACAGUUGAGGUAGGCGGAAUUCGUGGUGUAGCGGUGAAAUGCUUAGAUAUCACGAAGAACCCCGAUUGCGAAGGCAUCUCACGAAUCCGCGAUUGACGCUGAUGCACGAAAGCGUGGGUAUCAAACAGGAUUAGAUACCCCAGUAGUC
rnacentral:rRNA from 1 species